CAGCAGCAGCAGUAGUAACAGCAGCAGCAGUAGCAACAACAGCAGCAGUAGUAGUAACAACAGCAGCAGCAGCAGUAGUAACAACAGCAACAGCAGUAGUAGUAACAACAACAACAGCAGUAGUAGUAACAACAACAACAGCAGUAGUAGUAACAACAACAGCAGCAGUAGUAGUAACAACAACAGCAGCAGCAGUAGUAACAACAGCAGUAGUUGCAGCAGUAGUAACAACAGCAGUAGUUGCAGCAGUAGUAACAACAGCAGUAGUUGCAGCAGUAGUAACAACAGCAGUAGUUGCAGCAGUAGUAACAACAGCAGUAGUUGCAGCAGUAGUAACAACAGCAGUAGUUGCAGCAGUAGUUGCAGCAGUAGUAACAACAGCAGUAGUUGCAGCAGUAGUAACAACAGCAGUAGUAGCAGCAGUAGUAACAACAGCAGUAGUUGCAGCAGUAGUAACAACAGCAGUAGUUGCAGCAGCAGCAACAGCAGUAGUUGCAGCAACAGCAGCAGCAGCAGUAGUAGCAGCAACAGCAGUAGUAGCAGCAACAGCAGUAGUAGCAGCAACAGCAGCAACAGCAGUAGUAGCAGCAACAGCAGUAGUAGCAGCAACAGCAGUAGUAGCAGCAGCAGCAGCAGUAGUAACAGCAGCAGUAGUAGCAGCAACAGCAGCAGUAGCAGCAACAGCAGUAGUAGUAGCAGCAACAGCAGCAGUAGUAGCAGCAGCAGCAGCAGCAGCAGCAGAGCAGCAGCAGCAGCAGCAGUAGUAGAAGCAGCAGCAGCAGUAACAACAGCAGCAGCAGUAACAACAGCAGCAGCAGCAGUAACAACAGCAACAGCAGCAGCAGUAACAGCAGCAGCAGUAGCAGCAGCAGCAGCAGCAGUAACAACAGCAGCAGCAGCAGUAACAACAGCAGCAGCAGCAGUAACAACAGCAGCAGCAGUAGCAACAGCAGCAGCAGCAGUAACAACAGCAGCAGCAGCAGUAACAACAGCAGCAGCAGUAACAACAGCAGCAGCAGCAGUAACAACAGCAGCAGCAGCAGUAACAGCAGCAGCAGCAGCAGUAACAACAGCAGCAGCAGUAACAGCAGCAGCAGCAGCAGUAGUAGUAACAACAACAGCAGCAGUAGUAGUAACAACAACAGCAGCAGCAGUAGCAACAGCAGCAGCAGCAGCAGUAACAACAACAGUAACAGCAGCAGCAGCAACAACAGCAGUAGCAGCAGCAGCAACAGCAGUAACAGCAGCAGCAACAGCAGCAGCAGUAACAGCAGCAGCAGCAGUAGCAGCAGCAGCAGUAGCAACAGCAGCAGCAGCAGCAGCAGCAGCAGCAACAGCAGCAGCAGCAGCAGUAGUAACAACAGCAGCAGCAGUAGUAACAGCAGCAGCAGCAGUAGUAACAACAGCAGCAGCAGCAGCAGUAGUAACAACAGCAGCAGCAGCAGCAGUAGUAACAACAGCAGCAGCAGCAGCAGUAGUAACAACAGCAGCAAGCAUAACAACAGCAGCAGUAGUAACAACAG
rnacentral:lncRNA from 1 species